rnacentral:miRNA from 10 species
GAGGUGGGAGGAUCACUUAAGCUCAGGAGGUAGAGGUUGCAGUAAGCUGAGAUCACGCCACUACACUCCAGCCUGAGUGACAGAGCAAGACCCUGUCUCA